GAAUAGCUCAGUUGGUAGAGCACGAGACUCUUAAUCUCAGGGACAUGGAUUCGAGCCCCAUGUUGGGCA